CAGCUCCAAACUGUACUGAGUGGAGGGGCAAGGAAAGAAUGCAAGAAAGGUCCGGAGAGCCCGGAAGAGCCGCCAUGUUACCGGAGUCCUAAGACACUGCGGGAGCCAGUGCCCAGCAGGACCUCGUGGCGCAACGGUGAAACUGUGGCACACAGAGGAAUAGUGACCUGCCAAGGGUCGCCCAGGAUUCCAAACCAGUUCUGGAGGCUCAAAGUCCAAGAUCAAGGUGACAGCAGCAUUGGUUUCUUCUAAGACCUGUCUUUGGCUCAUAGAUGACCAUCUUCCUGCUAUGUCCGCACAUAGUCUUUUCUCUGUACUCACAUAUCCCUGAUGUCUCUCUCCAUGUCCAGGUUUCCACUUAAGAAGACACCAGUCGUAUUGGAUUAGGGCCUACUCUUAUGGGCUCAUUUUAACUUAAUCACCUGUUAAAAGGCCUCAUCUCCAAAUACAAUCACCUUUUGAGGUUUAGGGCUUCAACCUAUGAAUUUUGAGGGGCACAAUUCUGCCCAUAACAGAAGUCAUGCUCUUUCUUCCCUCUGGCAACCUUUGCAUAUACAGCAUGUAUCUGUAACAGUACUUACUUGAUCUUAGCUCGGACCAAGCAUGUUAUCUCAUUUGUACAAAAUCAUACUCUUGUGAGGUAGACAGCAGGUUGUAUUACCUUGUUAAUCAUUUUGUUAUGGCAGCCCUAGCAAACGAAUACAGUACAGCUUCUUUGGAGAACUACUAGUUCUCCAGUAUGGCUGGAGAGAAAUAAACCUGUAGAGGUAAACAGGAGUGAGAUCACACAGGACCUUCUGUGCCAUUCUAACUCAGAUUUUAUUCUGAAGGCAAUGCUGAGCUAUUAUUCAAGAAUGUGACAAGGUCAGCUGGAGCUUUACAAAGAAUGUAAAAAGUGGCCUGGAGCUGUUGUUUCUGGACCAGCAUCCUGGGAACAAGUUAGAAAUAUAAAUUUCCAGGCCCCACCCAAGACCUACAGACUCAGAAAACUGUGGGAGUGGGCCCUACCAACGUGAGUGUUAACCAGGUGCUUCGGGUGAUUCUGAUGCAAGCUAAAAGCUGAGAACCAUGGGCCUAUAAAGCAAGGCCAGGUGGGAGGUCUCCCUUACCUCACAAGGUUGUUUAGAGAAUCAAAUAAGAUAAAAUACAUAAAAAUGUUUUAUAAGUUGUAAA